GGCUAAUACCGAAUGAUAGAAUGUGGCGCAUGCCACGCUUUUGAAAGAUGGUUUCGGCUAUCGCUUACAGAUGGGCCCGCGGUGCAUUAGCUAGUUGGUAGGGUAAUGGCCUACCAAGGCAACGAUGCAUAGCCGACCUGAGAGGGUGAUCGGCCACACUGGGACUGAGACACGGCCCAGACUCCUACGGGAGGCAGCAGUAGGGAAUCUUCCGCAAUGGACGAAAGUCUGACGGAGCAACGCCGCGUGUAUGAAGAAGGUUUUCGGAUCGUAAAGUACUGUUGUUAGAGAAGAACAAGGAUAAGAGUAACUGCUUGUCCCUUGACGGUAUCUAACCAGAAAGCCACGGCUAACUACGUGCCAGCAGCCGCGGUAAUACGUAGGUGGCAAGCGUUGUCCGGAUUUAUUGGGCGUAAAGCGCGCGCAGGCGGUCUUUUAAGUCUGAUGUGAAAGCCCCCGGCUUAACCGGGGAGGGUCAUUGGAAACUGGAAGACUGGAGUGCAGAAGAGGAGAGUGGAAUUCCACGUGUAGCGGUGAAAUGCGUAGAUAUGUGGAGGAACACCAGUGGCGAAGGCGACUCUCUGGUCUGUAACUGACGCUGAGGCGCGAAAGCGUGGGGAGCAAACAGGAUU
rnacentral:rRNA from 1 species